rnacentral:rRNA from 1 species
ACGGGAGGCAGCAGUGGGGAAUAUUGGGCAAUGGGGGAAACCCUGACCCAGCAACGCCGCGUGAAGGAAGAAGGCCUUCGGGUUGUAAACUUCUUUUACCAGGGACGAACACAAUGACGGUACCUGGGGAAAAAGCAACGGCUAACUUCGUGCCAGCAGCCGCGGUAAUACGUAGCUUGCAGGCGCUGUCCGGAUUUACUGGGUGUAAAGGGCGUGUAGGCGGGGCUGCAAGUCAGAUGGGAAAUCCCGGGGCUCAACCCCGGAACUGCAUUUGAAACUGUAGCCCUUGAGUAUCGGAGAGGCAAGCGGAAUUCCUAGUGUAGCGGUGAAAUGCGUAGAUAUUAGGAGGAACACCAGUGGCGAAGGCGGCUUGCUGGACGACAACUGACGCUGAGGCGCGAAAGCGUGGGGAGCAAACAGGAUUAGAUACCCUGGUA